UGGCGCGAUCUCAACUCGCUGCAGCCUCCACCUCCCGGAUUCAAGCAAUUCUCCUGCCUCAGCCUCCCAAGUAGCUGGGAUUACAGGCGUGGGCCACCACAUCUGGCUAAUUUUUGUAUUUUUAGUAGAGACGGAGUUUCUACUCCAUCAGGCUGGUCUCCAACUUCUGGCCUCAAGUGAUCUGCUGCCUCGGCCUCCCAAAGUGCUGGGAUUACAGACGUGAGUCACUGUGCCUGGCCUGGAUGGAACAUUCUGCUCUUUCUCNNNNNNNNNNACUUCUGGCCUCAAGUGAUCUGCUGCCUCGGCCUCCCAAAGUGCUGGGAUUACAGACGUGAGUCACUGUGCCUGGCCUGGAUGGAACAUUCUGCUCUUUCUCCAUCUGCUGCCUACCCAUGAUGUCUUGGGACUCCUAGAGCCCUAAAGGAAGCCCCUGGACAUGCAGGAAGGUGAUCCAGAAUUACUCCCGAACUCUACCAGCUGAAAUCCUCCUCAACUCACAUCAGACAAGACGGCCCUGCCACUUACCUGUCAGAUCACUUUGGGCAGUUUACAGGAGAGAAGAUGCAGCCUGGGAGAGAUGUAGCAGGUGUCUGAGGUCACACAGCAAGACACCCAGGGCCAGGAU
rnacentral:lncRNA from 1 species